rnacentral:rRNA from 1 species
UACGUAGGGUGCAAGCGUUAAUCGGAAUUACUGGGCGUAAAGCGUGCGCAGGCGGUUGUGCAAGAACGAUGUGAAAUCCCCGGGCUUAACCUGGGAAUGGCAUUGGUGACUGUACGGCUAGAGUGUGUCAGAGGGGGGUAGAAUUCCACGUGUAGCAGUGAAAUGCGUAGAGAUGUGGAGGAAUACCGAUGGCGAAGGCAGCCCCCUGGGAUAACACUGACGCUCAUGCACGAAAGCGUGGGGAGCAAACAGG